GCAUAGACAUGGGCGGUGAGGAGCACAGGCCUGCCCGCCAGCCCCGGGGUUGCAGCUGGAGGCAGCCCGACUCCUCCCCCUCCAGAACAGCGCGGGUGGUUACUGAGUAGCUCUCCCGGGGCUGGCUGCUCUUAUCCAAAUCCCUUGAAAACGCCUGUGUUUCAGAUCUUUUGAAGAAGAAAAGGGAGCAGUAACAAAUCAUACGGCAUCUGUCCUGCCCCGACCCCUCAACAAGUUGAAGGAGGCGCAGCCUCUUCCUGAGCAAUUGCAGAGCUAAUGACAAGCAGCCGCCAUAGACAGAAGCCACCGCUUUCCGUCAGGCCCAGGGACACUGGAGCAGGCCUCUCCUGAUGCAGCUCUGCACAGACCAAAGCCCAGCGCACAGCUGAGGAGACGCCUGGGAGGAACCUACAGCUCAGACUAGCAGGAAACCAAGCACUGAGAAGGACAGGGAAGGUCCAUAGACGCGAUGAACUGACUCCUUACCCGUGCGCUCUGGCCGGCUAUCAGCUGGUCGUCCUCUGUUUGGACACUUGUCCUGCUUCUGACGUCAAAGUCUUCC